rnacentral:tRNA from 1 species
CGCGGGAUGGAGCAGUGGUCAGCUCGUGUGGCUCAUAACCACGAGGUCGAGGGUUCGAAUCCCUCUCCCGCUACCA